rnacentral:lncRNA from 1 species
CAGGAGUAUCUAGAAUUAAGACACUGAGUGGGAAGAGAGAUACAAAUAUGUCCAUAGAAAUAUGGAAGGUUUUAAGCCAGAAAAUCCUUAAAUGAAGGUCUGUAGCAGUAUCUCUCCAGAUAUUUAAAAAUACAAUGAUCACCAAAAUAUGCUAUAAAUGUUUAAAAUGGACUCCUAUCGAAAGUUCAGAGGUUAAAGAUGAUGUUGUUUAUGGUACUCCUAGAAAUUGAUUCUUCUUUAUUUUUUCUUUUCGUUGAGUUUAAUUGCCACUAGAAUUAUUUUCAAGUUAAGAAGAUAAGAGGAUUGACUUUUUAAACUUCAAAAUGAACUUCCCUGCUGUGACUGACUAUAUUCCCCAGUAUGGAGAAUUAUGAGGAACCUGUUGAACAGAAAAGUCUCUGACCAUAAUCAAGGUCACACAGUCAGAAGGCAUCCCAGCAGACACUCCACACUAGCCAAUGUGGAUUCAGAGACUGCACCCUUGAUUACUGUGUUGUUUGAUGAUACUAGUGAUUUCCACGGGGGGCAGAGAUGAUUUUCCUGGCUCUGGGCCUCAUGGUUUCACACUACCUUUGUAAUUUCUCUUGGAGCCUUUCAUUACAGAACUAAAGUUGCCUCUGCUCAGCUGUAUUCUUCUUUGAGGUGAGGAUCUGGGUAGGCCACAGUAGUUGGCAGAAUUUUAAUAUUGUAUAUGUAGUUAGGGUGGACACACAAGACUCCUUCCCUGACUACCUUCCAGCUAGGAUUGGACUGGCCGUGUGACACAAUUCUGACCAAUGAGAUGUAGGUGGAAUUCUGUCAGUUACGUUGCCUCACGUGGAUAUAUAAGAUAAAGCAUCCAGCCAAGUGAGGGAAUAAUGCAUACUGACUACUCAGGAAGUAGCACUGCAGAUGCCACACUCUUGAAUCAGCCCAUAUUUUAACUGUAAGUAGCACACUGAAAAUCAGCAGUAAGAGAAUGAAGAAACUGGAGUCAAGACAGGGUCCAGUAGAGAGAGAGAAAAAAAACCCACUGUUUUGGAUUGUUCUUUCACAUCCUAAGCAAUCAUGAAUGUUACAGAACUAGAAUCUGGACUUCUUUUAGCUACAUGCUCAAGAUUAAAAGCAAAUGACAGGGAGAAUGCAAGAAGGGAUUGCUGGGAAGAAGGCCAGAGGAAAUUGGAGUGAGAAAUUCAAAAUGUAUGCAAGAGUUUGUCUAAGGAGAAUCAAAACUACUAUGUUUAGAAAAGGUUGAAAUUUCAUUAUUUUGCAAGAGUUACAUCAACAACUGCAAAAGCUUCAGGAAUUCCAGCCCUUUGGAUUGAAACUCUUGCCUGGAGCAUUAAGAACUUGGGGGAGAAAUCACUACUCACUGCUUUGCUCGCAAUUCUCAUUUGGACUAGCGCUUGCAGAAACUGAGCUGAACUUUCCGCACUGUUAUUGCAUCUGUAAGGUAAUUGCCUAAACUUGUUGAGCCAAUCGGAAUUGCUGUUGUUGACUUUUGCAAAUGUGAAGAAUCCGAUGAAGCAAUUUGUAAGCCAUAUGUGGUACAUCCCUCUUUCCCCACUCAAAGUCAUAUUGCUCUCUAUAGGAUUUUGUGUGAUCCUUAUGAAACAUCACACUCCAGAAUUCUAUUUUAAAAGCUUCAAACAUUAGUGUUUAAAAAGUCAUUCAUAUUUAUGGGACCAUUUUGUUGCCAAAUUCUUGUAUUAAAAGAGGGUUAAAAU